AUAGUAUUAGUUUACUGAUGAUAUAUAGUAUAAUCUGUUAGAUAUAGUAUAAUCUGUAGAGAUGAUGCCUUUUAUUACAAAGUAAACUAUGUCCCCAGUACUUUACCUGAUCCACAGAAGGUGUCCAUGUAAUCAGGGAUGCAGAAAUUGUAAUAGAAAAGAAGAAGAAAGGAAAUAAGUUUCUAUAUAGUACUUAGCCUUGGAGUAUAAAAUAAUAAAAAAUUAAGAGUAAAAAGUUUAAA